GCGUUCCUGCCGUGCGCGUGGAGGAUGACAGUCCCGAUCCAACACGCACGACGCCGGGAGCCCGGCUUCGGCCGUGGAGGGCCAGCCCCAGACGGCAUGGGGACGCGUGAAGCGGCCGGGAGGGCACCCACUUAUUGAUAGCAGGUUGGGGACUGCAGCCUUACGGCACGGCGGGACAGAC
rnacentral:other from 1 species